CUUCCGGCCGCACCUCCCACUCCCCCGCUGCCCGGACUGUAGGUGCCGGGCUGGAACCCUCCUGCUCCUGGACCGACAAAGCCACCUGAGCCAGACAGAAGACAGGCAUCCUCCCAUACCUCCCUGAGCGAAGCCUCCACCACCAGGACCGAAUCCCGUGCCCGUGCCGCCUGGUCCGAAUCCAGUUCCGGCACCUGCGCCGAUUCCGGCCGCUUCUCCGGCUCCAACCGAGGUGAAGAAGAAGCGGCGAGCCCAGUGAGCGGGAGGGGACGACCGCUCGCGUUUCACUUGAGCGAGUUGCGGCGCCGAGGGCGACUCACCUCCUUGCAGCGAGGGUCCGCACAACGCCAGGACCACCAGCAGCAGCGCCGGCGGGCCCGCCGCGCCUCUCGGGUGCUGAAAGUGUCAAUCAAGUCCACCCGGGUCCGGCGGCGACCCGGCGUCGGGUUCAGGCUCAGCGGGGGCGGCGACAGGAAGCUGACAUGGGAUCGGACGCCAUUACGCAUGCUGGAAAGUCUCAUGAUUCAUGAGGAGCUUUAUUUGAGCAACAACAUCCAGCGCGCCGCGGGAGCUUAGCAACAUGCUAACAACAACAAUAAUAAGACUUCCAGAGUCGGACAAUAUUUGCAGCGACAACAUGACGCGAGGGCAGCCCCGUUGACACGGUCGCGCUUGACGAGC